rnacentral:rRNA from 1 species
UACGUAGGGGGCUAGCGUUGUCCGGAUUUAUUUGGCGUAAAGAGCGUGUAGGCGGCCAGGUAGGUCUGGUGUGAAAACUCGAGGCUUAACCUCGAGAUGUCAUCGGAAACCAUCUGGCUAGAGUCCGGAAGAGGAGAGUGGAAUUCCUGGUGUAGCGGUGAAAUGCGCAGAUAUCAGGAAGAACACCAAUGGCGAAAGCAGCUCUCUGGGACGGUACUGACGCUGAGACGCGAAAGCGUGGGGAGCGAACAGG